rnacentral:rRNA from 1 species
CAGCCGCCGCGGUAAUACGUAGGGGGCAAGCGUUAUCCGGAGUUACUGGGUGUAAAGGGAGCGUAGACGGUUAAACAAGUCUGAAGUGAAAUGCCGGGGCUCAACCCCGGAGCUGCUUUGGGAACUGUAGAACUGGAGUGUCGGAGGGGUAAGCGGAAUUCCCAGUGUAGCGGUGAAAUGCGUAGAUAUUGGGAGGAACACCGGCGGCGAAGGCGGCUUACUGGACGACAACUGACGUUGAGGCUCGAAGGCGUGGGUAGCAAACAGGAUUAGAUACCCCCGUAGUCCCUGUCUCUUAUAC